CGCACCAUCUUGCAACAUGAAGAUCGAUGGAUCGAGAUCAAUCGUCUCCGUGGUAUUAUAGGCUCGCGGUCGCAACGACGUGAACGUUUGCCAUCCAUCUGUGAUGUUAUUGAUCGCCCGUCAAAAUCAUUUUCAUUUCCGACGUCACGUUCAGCCAUCGUUAAAAUCGUAAUAUUGCGAUAUACAGUACGAUUCACGCGUCGUAUUGGGAGUGCCGUGUAAAAUGUUGCGCAUCGGGAGUGCCGUAUAAAGUUUCGCGCGUCGGGAGUGCCGUGUAAAGUGUCGGGCGAUCGUAAUUAUUCGUGUUUUCGCGAGUGUCGCGAGUGCUACCAAGAGAGGAGGAGGAGGCCCAGGGAGGCAUCAGGCGACGUUGGGGCAGCUGUAAGAUCAAUAUGUUGUGUACUACAACUCCGUCAUUGCAGGUAUCGAUCCACCCGCUGAGGUUUUUUACACGGGGAUGUAAAUACUCGAGCAGAGUCGUCCCUCGUGAGAGUCUUCGAGCGGUCAGCUGCGUGUGUGCUACAUAAUAUAUGCUGAAUUCUUUCACUAGCCGAAUUUGCGGAGAGAAAAAGAGAGAGAAGCAAGAAAGUUCUCUGCGCAUUUCUCUCAGCUUCUUUUUCUCAUCUCGCAACAGGAAGAAUUCCAGUGCCGCAAGCGAACAGCCGAUUCGUACACCUCGAGCGCUUCGCCAACACAUUCAGAUAGCAUUGCUGAUAAGCUGCACGCGAGUUUAACUGCGAGAUUUUCGAGUGUCGAACAGAUCGUUGCUUCGUGCGAUUACAGUUUUCGCAUCGUGUUUUUUCGCAUUAUUAUAUGCUAUGUAUACGAAAUACAUGCGUCGGGAGUGCCGUGUAAAGUGUCGGACGAUUGUAUAAUUUAUUCGUAUUUUCGCGAGUGUUGUGAGUGCUACGAAGAAGCAAUGACGAUCAACCACGAGAGAAGAAGAAGGCUCAAAGGAGGCAUCAGGCGACAGCGGGGCAACUGCGAGAUCACUGCACUGUGCUGUACUACAACUCCGCUAUCGCGCGUAUCGUUUUGUUGCUCGAAUACACGUCAUGGGAUAUGGAUAUAUCACUGCAAAUAUUCAAGAGCGGAUUCGCGAGAUCGAUAUAUCGAUGAAGCAAUCGAUCGAGGAAUCGAACUAUGUUCGUCAAUGAGACAUGUUCAUUCAAGGAAUCGAUCGCCGCGAGCGGAUCGUAACGAAUAACGCUCGGCUUUCUCCGUCCCAUGUUACGAGAGGAAUUUAUCCGCGAAUUAUUUCACCGUGAUCUCCCUGCGGGCGAGGUGGGCAUCCUCUUCCGUCGAUUUCGUCGAGGGAAAAAAAGAAAGAGAGAGAAAACUGGUCCAGCUGCGCGCGGCGAGUUUUCUGCCGCUCCAUUGGUCGGCGGCGUCGAGAAUUGGUGAUUGAGGAAAAAAAAGCCGGAGCAAAAUGCAGAAAAGAAGAAAGAAGGGAAGAUGAGGGAAAGAGAGAGAACGUCUGUUGCCGUCACGCAAACUCCUGUUGGAGCUCGAUGUGGAAAGACCUCGUUGGCUCGUCCGUGUAACUUGACAGCUCGAAAUCUGGUAUCGGAUACGAUAAAUAUAGGUCCAGGCAAAAUUAAGUCAGCUGAUCUCCCUCUCCGAAGUCGUGGAUGUGGCGACCAGAUCAUCCGAGCCCUCUGAAUUUUGCGGAGGCGUAGGCGUAGGUUCCGGAGGUGGACCCUUAACGGGUGGUAAGGUCGGUGGUGGUGGCGGUGGGUGCUGUAUCAGUGGACCAGCCGGCUGAUAAUACCCUGUGAACAAAAGAGCAAGGUGUGCACUUUCCUAACUGAUCGUCUUUCACUCCUAAUUUUCAAUAUCGCUUUUCAAACUACCAUUGUACAAUCACGUUUUAUCCGUGUUACGUAAAGCGUUUUUUUAUCAGUCUGUAUAAUAAAAGGUCUAUAUAUUAUAUCUCGCAUGUAUGUAUGUAUGU